rnacentral:rRNA from 1 species
AGUUUGAUCAUGGCUCAGGAUGAACGCUGGCGGUGUGCCUAAUACAUGCAAGUCGAACGAAGACCCUUGUACUCGUACGAGGAAUUCUUAGUGGCGAACGGGUGAGUAUCGCGUUGGUGACCUGCCCCGAAGUGGGGGACAACAGUUCGAAAGGACUGCUAAUACCCCAUGUGGCCGUGAUAAUUAGAAAGUCACGACUAAAGGAGUAAUCCGCUUCGGGAGGGGCCUGCGUCCCAUCAGCUAGUUGGUAAGGUAAUGGCUUACCAAGGCAACGACGGGUAGGGGACCUGAGAGGGUGGCCCCCCACACUGGUACUGAAACACGGACCAGACACCUACGGGUGGCAGCAGUAGGGAAUAUUGCACAAUGGGCGAAAGCCUGAUGCAGCAACACCGCGUGUGUGAUGAAGGCCUUCGGGUCGUAAAGCACUUUUAUGAGGGAAGAGGAAGGACGGUACCUCAUGAAUAAGGAUCGGCUAACUACGUGCCAGCAGCCGCGGUAACACGUAGGAUCCAAGCGUUAUCCGGAUUUACUGGGCGUAAAGCGCGUGUAGGCGGCUUGGUAAGUUGGAUGUGAAAGCUCCCGGCCCAACCGGGAGACGUCGUUCAAUACUGCCAGGCUUGAGGACGAUAGAGGAAGGUGGAAUUCCGGGUGUAGUGGUGAAAUGCGUAGAUAUCCGGAGGAACACCAGUGGCGAAGGCGGCCUUCUGGGUCGUUCCUGACGCUCAGACGCGAAAGCUAGGGUAGCGAACGGGAUUAGAAACCCCGGUAGUCCUAGCCGUAAACGAUGUCAACUUGGUGUUGGUGGCGUAAAAACCAUCAGUGCCGUAGCUAACGCGAUAAGUUGA